UCCGGUUUGGUGUAGUGGUUUAACAUUAUCGCCUCUCAUGCGACAGAUUGUCCACUUUCGCGAUAGCCCGGGGUUCGAUUCCCCGAUCCGGAA